GACGAACGCUGGCGGCGUGCUUAACACAUGCAAGUCGAGCGGAGCGGCGAACGGGUGAGUAACGCGUGAGUAACUGCCCCCCUCUCUGGGAUAACAGUUGGAAACGGCUGCUAAUACCGGAUAGUGGGGGAUGACUCGCGUCCUAUCAGCUUGUUGGUUGGGUAGUGGCCUACCAAGGCGACGACGGGUAGCCGGCCUGAGAGGGCGCCCGGCCACAUUGGGCUGAGAUACGGCCCAACCUGCUACGUGAGGCAGCAGGGGGGAAGAGUGCACAAUGGGGGAAACACUGAUGCAGCAACGCCGCGUGCGGGAUAACGGCCUUCGGGUUGUAAACCGCGUUCAGCCAUUACGCGGUAGUGGCAGAGGAAGCACCAGCUAACUACGUGCCAGCAGCAGCGGUAAUAC
rnacentral:rRNA from 1 species